CCUACGGGUGGCAGCAGUGAGGAAUAUUGGUCAAUGGGAGAGAUCCUGAACCAGCGAAGCCGCGUGAGGGAAGACGGCCCUCUGGGUUGUAAACCUCUUUUGUCGGAACACAAAACCCGGGACGUGUCCCGGACUGCGUGUAUCCGAAGCAAACGCAUCGGCUAACUCCGUGCCAGCCGCCGCGGUAAUACGGAGGAGGCGAGCGUUAUCCGGAUUUAUUGGGGUUAAGGGGUGCGUAGGCGGUCCGUUAAGUCCGCGGUAAAAUUGCGGGGCUCAACCCCGUCGAGCCGUUGAAACUGGGAGACUUGAGUGGGCGAGAAGUACGCGGAAUGCGCGGUGUAGCGGUGAAAUGCAUAGAUAUCGCGCAGAACUCCGAUGGCGAAGGCAGCGUACCGGCGCCAGACUGACGCUGAGGCACGAAAGCGUGGGGAGCGAACAGGAUUAGAUACCCUGGUAGUC
rnacentral:rRNA from 1 species